GAUCAUGGCUCAGGACGAACGCUGGCGGCGUGCUUAACACAUGCAAGUCGAACGGGAGUGUCAAAGAAGCUUGCUUUUAAGAUACUUUAGUGGCGGACGGGUGAGUAACGCGUGAGGAGCUGUCCUAUGCAGGGGGACAACAGUUGGAAACGGCUGCUAAUACCCCAUAAGCCGAGAGGUAAAAGGAUUAAUCCGGCAAAGGAGGCGCUCGCGUCCUAUCAGCUAGUAGGUUGGGUAACGGCCGACCUAGGCGAAGACGGGUAGCCGGCCUGAGAGGGCGAACGGCCACACUGGAACUGAGAUACGGUCCAGACUCCUACGGGAGGCAGCAGUGGGGAAUAUUGGGCAAAUGGGGGGAACCCUGACCCAGCGACGCCGCGUGGGUGAAGAAAUCCUUCGGGAUGUAAAGCCCUGUUGUAUGGGAAGAGUAGAAGACGGUACCAUACGAGGAAGCCCCGGCAAACUACGUGCCAGCCGCCGC
rnacentral:rRNA from 1 species